GUGCUCACUUCAGCAGCACAUAUACUAAAAUUGGAGCGAUACAAAGAAGAUUAGCAUGACCCCUGCACAAGGGUGACGCGCAAAUUCAGAACUAUAAAAACUGCUU